rnacentral:sRNA from 1 species
GCCAGGCGCGGUGGCACACGCCUGUAAUCCCAGCGGCUCAGGAGGUUGAGGCAGGAGGAUCUUGAGUUCAAAGCCAGCCUCAACAAAAGCGAAAUGCUAAGCAACUCAGUGAGACCCUGUCUCUA